AGGAUGGACGCUGGCGGCGUGCCUAACACAUGCAAGUCGAACGUCCUGUCUCGCAAGAGGCAGGGAGUGGCGGACGGGUGAGUACCACGUGGGUUAUCUACCGUGAGGUGAGGAAUACCGGCGAGAAAUCGCCGACAAGACCGCAUAGCCUCGGUGCAAGUCGAGGAAAGCUCUCUCGAGAGAGGGAGCGCCACACGAGGAGCCUGCGCCCGAUUAGCUAGCUGGUGGAGUAAUGGUUCACCAGGGCGACGAUCGGUAGCUGGUCUGAGAGGACGAUCAGCCACACUGGGAUUGAGAACGGCCCAGACUCCUACGGGGGCAGCAGUGAGGAAUUUCGUCAAUGGGGGCAACCCUGAACGAGCAACGCCGCGUGCAGGAAGAAGGUUUUCGAUCGUAAACUGCUUUUCGUCGGGAAGAGAACGGACGGUACCCGAGGAAUCAGCCCCGGCUAACUACGUGCCAGCAGCCGCGGU
rnacentral:rRNA from 1 species